GGGUUGUGAGGUUAAGCGACUAAGCGUACACGGUGGAUGCCCUGGCAGUCAGAGGCGAUGAAGGGCGUGCUAAUCUGCGAUAAGCGCCGGUAAGGUGAUAUGAACCGUUAUAACCGGCGAUACCCGAAUGGGGAAACCCAGUGUGAUUCGUCACACUAUCAUUAACUGAAUCCAUAGGUUAAUGAGGCGAACCGGGGGAACUGAAACAUCUAAGUACCCCGAGGAAAAGAAAUCAACCGAGAUUCCCCCAGUAGCGGCGAGCGAACGGGGAGGAGCCCAGAGCCUGAAUCAGCAUGUGUGUUAGUGGAAGCGUCUGGAAAGGCGCGCGAUACAGGGUGACAGCCCCGUACACAAAAGCGCAUGUGCUGUGAGCUCGAUGAGUAGGGCGGGACACGUGGUAUCCUGUCUGAAUAUGGGGGGACCAUCCUCCAAGGCUAAAUACUCCUGACUGACCGAUAGUGAACCAGUACCGUGAGGGAAAGGCGAAAAGAACCCCGGCGAGGGGAGUGAAAAAGAACCUGAAACCGUGUACGUACAAGCAGUGGGAGCACCCUUUGGGGUGUGACUGCGUACCUUUUGUAUAAUGGGUCAGCGACUUAUAUUCUGUAGCAAGGUUAACCGAAUAGGGGAGCCGGAGGGAAACCGAGUCUUAAUUGGGCGUUAAGUUGCAGGGUAUAGACCCGAAACCCGGUGAUCUAGCCAUGGGCAGGUUGAAGGUUGGGUAACACUAACUGGAGGACCGAACCGACUAAUGUUGAAAAAUUAGCGGAUGACCUGUGGCUGGGGGUGAAAGGCCAAUCAAACCGGGAGAUAGCUGGUUCUCCCCGAAAGCUAUUUAGGUAGCGCCUCGUGAACUCAUCUCCGGGGGUAGAGCACUGUUUCGGCUAGGGGGUCAUCCCGACUUACCAACCCGAUGCAAACUGCGAAUACCGGAGAAUGUUAUCACGGGAGACACACGGCGGGUGCUAACGUCCGUCGUGAAGAGGGAAACAACCCAGACCGCCAGCUAAGGUCCCAAAGUCAUGGUUAAGUGGGAAACGAUGUGGGAAGGCCCAGACAGCCAGGAUGUUGGCUUAGAAGCAGCCAUCAUUUAAAGAAAGCGUAAUAGCUCACUGGUCGAGUCGGCCUGCGCGGAAGAUGUAACGGGGCUAAACCAUGCACCGAAGCUGCGGCAGCGACGCUUAUGCGUUGUUGGGUAGGGGAGCGUUCUGUAAGCCUGCGAAGGUGGCCUGUGAGGGUUGCUGGAGGUAUCAGAAGUGCGAAUGCUGACAUAAGUAACGAUAAAGCGGGUGAAAAGCCCGCUCGCCGGAAGACCAAGGGUUCCUGUCCAACGUUAAUCGGGGCAGGGUGAGUCGACCCCUAAGGCGAGGCCGAAAGGCGUAGUCGAUGGGAAACGGGUUAAUAUUCCCGUACUUGGUGUUACUGCGAAGGGGGGACGGAGAAGGCUAUGUUGGCCGGGCGACGGUUGUCCCGGUUUAAGCGUGUAGGUGUGUGUUCCAGGUAAAUCCGGUUCACUUUAACACUGAGGCGUGAUGACGAGGCACUACGGUGCUGAAGCAACAAAUGCCCUGCUUCCAGGAAAAGCCUCUAAGCAUCAGGUAACAUCAAAUCGUACCCCAAACCGACACAGGUGGUCAGGUAGAGAAUACCAAGGCGCUUGAGAGAACUCGGGUGAAGGAACUAGGCAAAAUGGUGCCGUAACUUCGGGAGAAGGCACGCUGACAUGUAGGUGAAGUGAUUUACUCAUGGAGCUGAAGUCAGUCGAAGAUACCAGCUGGCUGCAACUGUUUAUUAAAAACACAGCACUGUGCAAACACGAAAGUGGACGUAUACGGUGUGACGCCUGCCCGGUGCCGGAAGGUUAAUUGAUGGGGUCAGCGCAAGCGAAGCUCCUGAUCGAAGCCCCGGUAAACGGCGGCCGUAACUAUAACGGUCCUAAGGUAGCGAAAUUCCUUGUCGGGUAAGUUCCGACCUGCACGAAUGGCGUAAUGAUGGCCAGGCUGUCUCCACCCGAGACUCAGUGAAAUUGAACUCGCUGUGAAGAUGCAGUGUACCCGCGGCAAGACGGAAAGACCCCGUGAACCUUUACUAUAGCUUGACACUGAACAUUGAGCCUUGAUGUGUAGGAUAGGUGGGAGGCUUUGAAGCGUGGACGCCAGUCUGCGUGGAGCCGACCUUGAAAUACCACCCUUUAAUGUUUGAUGUUCUAACGUGGACCCGUGAUCCGGGUUGCGGACAGUGUCUGGUGGGUAGUUUGACUGGGGCGGUCUCCUCCUAAAGAGUAACGGAGGAGCACGAAGGUUGGCUAAUCCUGGUCGGACAUCAGGAGGUUAGUGCAAUGGCAUAAGCCAGCUUGACUGCGAGCGUGACGGCGCGAGCAGGUGCGAAAGCAGGUCAUAGUGAUCCGGUGGUUCUGAAUGGAAGGGCCAUCGCUCAACGGAUAAAAGGUACUCCGGGGAUAACAGGCUGAUACCGCCCAAGAGUUCAUAUCGACGGCGGUGUUUGGCACCUCGAUGUCGGCUCAUCACAUCCUGGGGCUGAAGUAGGUCCCAAGGGUAUGGCUGUUCGCCAUUUAAAGUGGUACGCGAGCUGGGUUUAGAACGUCGUGAGACAGUUCGGUCCCUAUCUGCCGUGGGCGCUGGAGAACUGAGGGGGGCUGCUCCUAGUACGAGAGGACCGGAGUGGACGCAUCACUGGUGUUCGGGUUGUCAUGCCAAUGGCACUGCCCGGUAGCUAAAUGCGGAAGAGAUAAGUGCUGAAAGCAUCUAAGCACGAAACUUUCCCCGAGAUGAGUUCUCCCUGAGACUUAGAGUCUCCUGAAGGAACGUUGAAGACGACGACGUUGAUAGGCCGGGUGUGUAAGCGCAGCGAUGCGUUGAGCUAACCGGUACUAAUGAACCGUGAGGCUUAACCUUACAACGCCGAAG
rnacentral:rRNA from 1 species